rnacentral:lncRNA from 10 species
AAAUGGGAUGGCAGUUACCACUUCCAUAUAAUUUAAGUGCUUGUUGUUGGCAUUUAUCACUGAUACCCUUCUAGGCAUGUGAUGCUGCUUUUGACCUAUUAUUUUCCUAGGUAAAGAUUGUUCUAGUGGUUUUCCCUUGGCCUUUUCUACUACUUUUUUUGCCCUCACUUCACAGGCCAGGGAAUGAAUGUGAAAAUUCUGCCAGUUUCUGAGAAUGUCUAUUUAAAUUAUGCAUCCCAGAAAUGGGGAAAUAAUCACAGCAUGGGUUCAGGGACUCACUGGAGCCACUGUGGGAUAGAUCUGAGCUAAAACUCCAUUGAUCACCUGACCUUCAUAAGCCCCUAUACCAACUGGUAGACCACAGUGACAUUUUGGUCUCCUGGACCUAGUGCCAAUGUUUGCCAACUCCUAUGCUAAAAAAAAAAAAAAAUCCAGGGUAGACACAUUUGUUCCUUUAAAUUAUGAUUCCUUGUUGCUUAAAGGCUAACAUAAAAUUAUACCCAUUUAUGCCUUCUUUUUUAUAAACUGUGUUUGACAGUCAUCUGUCUUGCCCCAUGACUUGCUCUGACCAGUGUGGCAUUAGCAAACAUGGCAAAAGAAGAGCUUGUGAAGGGCUUUAAGACAUUGGUGCUCAUCCUCUUGGAACAUUCCUUCUUGGAAGGAGGCUGGACUACCCUUAGAUCACCAUGCUGUAAGGAAACCCAAGCUCAUCAUGUGAAGCAUGGAAGGGCACUAAGACAAGUAGCUUUCAGCUAGAUGCAGCCAAGUGAAAAUCCCUAGCCAACGCUGUGUGGAAAGAAACCACAUAGCAAGCUCAGCCCAAAUUCCUGACCCAUGGAUCAUGAAAAGUAAUAAAUCGCCAUUGCUUUAAGCCACUAAGUUCUAGGGUGGUUUACUGUAUGUAACAAGUAGAUGAAACACGUUUUCUUUAGAGUUUUCCAUAUUAGUUUUCUAAUCAUUAGUUUUUCAACUGCUGUCUUAAUUUUUCUUAUCAAUUCAUUGUAGAUUGUGGGCAAAUUGUGGAUACUUUCUGGGCUUCAUUUGUCUGAACUUUGAAAUAAGGGAUCUCUGCUAUUUGGCCCCUGAGUAUAUCUUUCAACUCUAAGAGAUGAAGUAUGGAAGGUGGUGAUCACAAUGCUGACCCGAGAAGAAAAUUGCGAGUAGCAAUGAUGCAGAGGUCUCCCUGCAAGCUACAGUUCAGAAAUUUAAGCCUUCUAGAAAGAGAAUCUUCAGAACAACCAAACCAUUUUCCUCAGCAAAGGACUGUACCAGGUACUCUUAACUAUCAAUUUACAGAGAAGGAAACUUGAACAGGUUUUUCACUAUAACUUGACAUUACCGUGGAGACUUGUCAAAUCAAGGCUUUCAUUUUUAUUUUAUUUUAUUUUUUGGCCCUUUGGCAAAUGACUUAGUGAUAGAAGACUCAGUAGCCUGAGAUCAGCAGAACAGAAAUUAAUUACUUAACAUUUAAGGAACUGAUUGAACAAUGUUUGAUGUUUUGCUUUUUAAUGGACAUAGGAGAAAUGCCAUGUCUUUCUUAUCUACCUCUAACUGUCAAUUUAAUUGGUUAUACUGAGCUAAGUGGAAUAAAA